GCCAGGUCUCAUGUCCACCAACAUCUAACUGGCUUCAAUGAAUUUCAUGUUUCCAAAAGAGACUAACUUAAGCCAAUCAUAAAAGAGGUGAGCAUGGUUUUCUCAGUUGCAAUUCAUAUCAAGUUGAAAUUUAACUACUUUUCUACAGUGCCUGCCUUCUACAGUCAACAAGGUAACUCACUGACGUCCUUUGGGACUUGCUGGGAGUAGGGCUUUCUUAGAGCUCCUGAGGAUAAAAGCCUUACACUUCUAAAACCUUUGUGGAAUUACUAUAAAUUUCCAGUGUAAUAAAAAUAAAUGUGUUUAUUUACACUUUUACCAAAGACAAACUGGUAAAAAAAAUAGCUGGUUUCAGAGGGUUUCUCAGAGCACAGGGGUAGUUUCUUUCACACUGUUUUCAAGAGACAAAUUAAGAAACUUCUAAGUUUUACAACUUUCUUCAAUGCUCCAGUGUAGAAAUUGUUGUUUUCAUCUGACACAGGGCUUUGGGAGGAACCAUGUGUAAUAUGUCCACAUGUAGAGUCCCCUCUCCACAUACUCUAUCCACAUCCCUUAACCUCUAUGAUAGAAAGCUGUACCCAGGCUUCAUGUGAUUCAGCUUCCUGUAAAUGAAAGGUGAAGUUCUUUGGAAAGCAUCUGUUUGCUUAACAGAAAAAAAGGUAAGGAUUUUAAUCUAUCUGAAAUGCUCUCUUCACAUGGCUUUCUCAAGACUGUCAAGAAUACUGUGUCUUCUAUGAAAGGUAGAACUUCUAGGGAGUAUUUUCCCAAACAAGAGUGAUGCUUUUCCAGGGUUCUUAAAAAUCUUCCUAGCUUCAGCAGGAACAUACACUAUUUCUUCAGCAACUCUCUGCUCACAGAGGGUGGAAUAAUAUAGCACCAUACAUUGAGCCCAGCAUGGCAGAACUUUUGAUCUUGGGAUCAUCUCACUUGAAGAGUUUAAUGUCAGUGGUGUGGUUUCUGGAACAAAGUAUGUAAUAGGACUCCACUCUCCAUACACUUGGAGUUUCAGGACACUUGGUCAUCCUUGUUCAAAAUGCACCACCACCUACCUCCCUGGUUUGGGGUCAAGUGGGUUGGAGAGAAAGAGGCUGAGCUUUAUGGUGAAAUUUUGGGUCACAAACCCUUUUUACCUCCCCUCUCCAGAUCUUCUUUCUCCUACCUCACAACUCUGCAGCUAUCUGUUCACUUAUCAGUCUCCUGUUUCCUACUCUAAUUCAUUGAGUCUAUGACCUUUUCCCUUUCACUAUCAUUCAUUAGCUAUCUAAUUUGUAUUUUGAUAUUUUUUUCAUCAUGAAUUUGCAGAACUUGACUUUGGGAUCAAAUCUGAAAAUUUUUAAAAAAAUCAACUGGAAUCUUCUGACAGCUCAAGUUUUCUCUUUUUUUGAGGAUACAAUGACAUGAAUGCUUGGGAUUUGCUGUUUUAUAUGACAGGUAAGGUGGAUGGGAAAGAGAAUAGCUGUUUAGUAGCAGCAUUUCAUUCUUGUUUUGCCUCAAUAAAACUCUCUGGGUUACAGGUCGAAUUUCAUACCCAGAAAAUAACAAGGCUAAUGGACAUACUUUUCUUGCAAGAAAAUGUUCAUGUCAAAGGAAAUAACAUAAGUGAACCUCUAUUUAAGCUAUAAGGUAAUGAAACAAGGAAAAUAGGUAAUAUGAGGUAUUUUAUUCACAUCAACACAAAGUGAAUAGUAAUAUCAAAGCAAAGGGAAUAGAGGUAGAUGUUUAUUUCUAGACAAAAAUAAAGAAGGGUCUUGGGUCCAGAUAUGAUUUAAACUUGUUAAAAUUUUAAUGGGUAGAAAUAAAAAUUUAAAAUUAAAGAAGAGUAAAUGGUAUGCCCCACUACUGUGGUAAUACCCCAAAGGUAUUAUCAGAGAGGAAGGAUAGUUCAGGAGUUUUAUGAAAUAAUGACUGGUUUCAAUAAAAAACCUGAGGCAGUAUUGAUCUGAGCUUAUGCACACAGCCUGUCAAAGUGCUGCCCUCCAAAUCUUUUUUUUUUUCCUCUUAUUUAAAAUAAACCAAAAUAGCAUGGCCUGGACAGCGUGGUUGACCAUCAUUUCCCCAGGACUUUCUAACAGCCUUUGUAUUGAAUGAGAACAUAGAUUUUUAAGACAAAGCUUUACCACUAUUUCUAAUGUUUGAAAUUUUACUACCCCAGUAACUCAUUCUCUAAGGCUACUUAGACUUGGGAAAGGGAUAUUUGAUAGAAUUGCAUAAAGCUGUGUGUAAUUUUUAUGUAAUUAUUUAUCUUAUCUGGAAGUGUGUAAUCCCUUCAUCAUGAUGGCAAAGUGCUUGAGAACAUCUUUCCAUGCCCUACUAUAGUGGCUGCAGAUCUGAGGGGGUCUGGUGACAGAUGUGAUAGUGCUCUUUAAUUCAUCGAUGGACUGGCAAUUAAUCAGACACAGGUAGACUAUCUCAGAAUUCAUACUAAAAUAAGUGCUGGGAAUAUUAUGAGACAGAAUAAAGAUGAUAACUCCCAAAGUUAGAUAACUUGUUAAAUCAUAAAGGGGAAAAUUCAUAGAUUCAAUGGUAUAACAUUCAAAACAGGAAAGAGCUCAAAGCAAGAUAUCAAAAACAAUUUUAAAAGACAUACAUAAUUCAGACAUAUGAAAUAUAAGAAAUGAAAAUAUACAAAAAUAUUAUACUGUCCUCAGUAAACAAAUAAAUGUUUAUUCUAAUUUUUAUUCUAUUAGCCAACCAAAUAAGAUAA
rnacentral:lncRNA from 1 species